AAUCAACGCUGGCGGCGUGCCUAACACAUGCAAGUCGAACGCGAAAGCCCCGCAAGGGGCAAGUAGAGUGGCAAACGGGUGAGUAACGCGUGGGUGACCUGCCUUCGAGCGGGGGAGUAACGUUCCGAAGGGACGCUAAUACCGCAUAACAUCCUGCCCUUCGAACGGGUGGGCGAUCAAAGACUGGGGAGUUCGCAAGAACCCGGCACUUGAAGAGGGGCCCGCGUCUGAUUAGCUAGNGGUUGAGGUAACGGCUCACCAAGGCAACGAUCAGUAUCCGGCCUGAGAGGGCGGACGGACACACUGGGACUGAGACACGGCCCAGACUCCUACGGGAGGCAGCAGUGGGGAAUUGUUCGCAAUGGGCGCAAGCCUGACGACGCAACGCCGCGUGGAGGAUGAAGAUUUUCGG
rnacentral:rRNA from 1 species